UUUGUUGCCGCAGACGCUGCCGCA
rnacentral:siRNA from 1 species